rnacentral:snoRNA from 1 species
ACGCAUCUAUUUGGCAGACCUGGAGCAGUUACUGUUUGCUGCUAAAGUUCCAGUGCAGAUGCAAGAAAAAAGGUUACUCACUCUUUCGUUCUGUCUGACUGUGGCAGCCGAGAUUGAAUGGGGGAAUACAGUG